rnacentral:rRNA from 1 species
UACGUAGGGUGCAAGCGUUGUCCGGAAUUAUUGGGCGUAAAGAGCUCGUAGGCGGUCUGUCGCGUCUGCUGUGAAAAUCCAGGGCUCAACCCUGGACCUGCAGUGGGUACGGGCAGACUAGAGUGCGGUAGGGGAGAUCGGAAUUCCUGGUGUAGCGGUGGAAUGCGCAGAUAUCAGGAGGAACACCGAUGGCGAAGGCAGAUCUCUGGGCCGUAACUGACGCUGAGGAGCGAAAGCGUGGGGAGCGAACAGG